rnacentral:rRNA from 1 species
AUGGAUCGAAAUUCAACUUAUGUGCUGAAAAUCAAUUUGCUUGGCAACCCAAAAAAGGCUAGAAAGGAUAUCAAAUGCUUCUGUUUUGAUAAGGUUAUUGAUUCCGACUUAACAAAUUAUAAGGACUUGGUUGAAUCAAUCGUAGAGCAGUACUCGCCUCGUUAUUUGGAAGUUGCACAUGUUCAGUACUAUGAUGUUCUUAAAAUCUACCCUGAAGUAACAUCUGACCAAGAAUUGGUGUCGAUGUUUGAGAAACACUCUAAGACAAAGGUUGUGCACAUGUUUGUUGCAUAUUGUGAUCCAUCGGAACCAUAUGAGCCUAUAACGGAGUGGCAUAGUGAUGCGCAUGGCCAACCUAACAACACAGAACAAGAUGGUGAUGAUUAUCUUCGCAACCCAGUACCUGAGAAUGAGCAUGUUGGUGUUGAUGAGGAAAAUAUUUAUUUAGAGGAUGAACCUGUACCUUUUAUCAUGGUUCCUUGUUCCAAUAAAGAAAAGGACAAAGACUAUGUUCCUGAUCAUGAGAGCGAGGCUGAGAGCGAGGUUGAGAGUGAGGAUGAGAGCGAGGAUGAGAGCAUGUCAGAGGUUGAAGUAGAGGAAGAUGAGGAAUAUCACAAGGCAGAUCAUGCACCACACAUUGAAUAUAAUAAAUUAGAUCCUCCAAUGAACGAAGGAAGAAAAUAUCCCAAUAUGGCAGAGUUUAAAUUGGCGCUUUCUCAGCAUGCAAUCAAACAUGAAUUUGACUUUUGA